UGCAUGUCUAGUAUAGCAUUAUACAGCGAAACUGCGAAUGGCUCAUUAUAUAAGUUAUCGUUUAUUUGAUAGUACCUUACUACUUGGAUAACCGUGGUAAUUCUAGAGCUAAUACAUGCUAAAAAUCCCGACUUCGGAAGGGAUGUAUUUAUUAGAUUAAAAACCAAUGCCCUCUGGGCUCCUUGGUGAUUCAUAAUAACUUUUCGAAUCGCAUGGCCUUGCGCCGGCGAUGGUUCAUUCAAAUUUCUUCCCUAUCAACUUUCGAUGUUUGGGUAUUGGCCAAACAUGGUCGCAACGGGUAACGGAGGGUUAGGGCUCGACCCCGGAGAAGGAGCCUGAGAAACGGCUACUACAUCCAAGGAAGGCAGCAGGCGCGCAAAUUACCCAAUCCCGAUUCGGGGAGGUAGUGACAAUAAAUACUGAUACAGGGCUCUUUUGGGUCUUGUAAUUGGAAUGAGUACAAUUUAAAUCCCUUAACGAGGAACAAUUGGAGGGCAAGUCUGGUGCCAGCAGCCGCGGUAAUUCCAGCUCCAAUAGCGUAUAUUAAAGUUGUUGUGGUUAAAAAGCUCGUAGUUGAACCUUGGGCCUGGCUGGCCGGUCCGCCUCACCGCGUGUACUGGUCCGGCCGGGCCUUUCCCUCUGUGGAACCUCAUGCCCUUCACUGGGUGUGGCGGGGAAACAGGACUUUUACUUUGAAAAAAUUAGAGUGCUCCAGGCAGGCCUAUGCUCGAAUACAUUAGCAUGGAAUAAUGAAAUAGGACGUGUGGUUCUAUUUUGUUGGUUUCUAGGACCGCCGUAAUGAUUAAUAGGGACAGUCGGGGGCAUCAGUAUUCAAUUGUCAGAGGUGAAAUUCUUGGAUUUAUUGAAGACUAACUACUGCGAAAGCAUUUGCCAAGGAUGUUUUCAUUAAUCAGGAACGAAAGUUAGGGGAUCGAAGACGAUCAGAUACCGUCGUAGUCUUAACCAUAAACUAUGCCGACUAGGGAUCGGACGAUGUUAUUUUUUGACGCGUUCGGCACCUUACAAGAAAUCAAGUGCUU
rnacentral:rRNA from 1 species